CUCUGUCUUACCUACUUUUGAUUCGUUACUCAAAAUUGUUUUGGAAGCGAUUCCAAGCUUCAAGCAAAACAAUUAAAAAUCAUGUGUAUAUGUAAAAAGCCCAAGAAUUCUUAGUUCAUUCCUUCAUCUCCCGUCUUUUUUUUUCCUAUUUGAGGAAAUUGUUGACUUCCUCCAUCUGCAACCUUGAUCCUGUUUGCUUCUUUCUGCAAUUUUUUUUUUUCUUGUUUCUCUGUGCCGAGUCUUGUGUUCUAGUUUAUAUUGCUUCAAGGUAUACUUAAAUAUCAGUUAGUGAGCUUCGAAUCCUGAUUUUAAAAUCAGGAUUUGUCAUGCCACUGAAGUAAUCGUCAUUAGAUAAUAUAUACAUAUAUACAAGGAAAACGUUGCAUUGGAGAUUGAAGUUACAAAAUUUUCAUUCUUGAAUAUUGGUGGUGCAGAGAAAACUAGAGAUUUCAAGAAUCAGUUCCAGGUUUUUCCAGGCAGCGAAGCAAGCAACCCACCAUUGGAGAUUGUUUCGUCUUUUCGCCGUUCUUGGCCUAUUUGCUUGGCAGCUUCUUGACUCAAGGGAGCAUUUUUUUUAUACAAGAAACAAAGUUAACAAAUGCAUAGUCCAUCUAAUUCUUCGCCGUCCAGCCGGCGACAUGACCUGGAGGCCGGAGGCCGUUCCUUUGACGACGAGCUUUCCAGUCCCUUUUAUAUUCCGAGCACUAAAAACGCCACUAUCGAACGGCUUCGCCGCUGGAGGCAAGCUGCACUUGUGCUUAAUGCUUCUCGUCGAUUCCGAUACACCCUGGACUUGAAAAAGGAAGAAGAGAAGCAGCAAAUAUAUAGAAAGAUAAGAGCAAAUAUAGAAGUCAUACGGGCUGCAUAUCGUUUUACAGCAUCUCUGGGACAAGCUAAUGGAGAAGUAGAAUUACAUGCAACACCUGCUGGUGAUUUUGGAAUUGAUCAAGCCCAACUUUCUACAAUGACAAUGGAUCGUAGGCUUGACUUUCUAGAGCAAAUAGGGGGGGUAAAAAGGCUUUCUGAUCUUUUAAAAACAAAUACAGAGAAGGGGAUCCAUGGGGAUGAUACUGAUUUACUGAAGCGCAAGAAUGCAUUUGGAUCAAACACUUAUCCGCAGAAAAAAGGAAGGACUUUCUG
rnacentral:misc_RNA from 1 species